GCACCCUUAGCUCAGCUGGAUAGAGUACUCGGCUACGAACCGAGCGGUCGGAGGUUCGAAUCCUCCAGGGUGCACCA
rnacentral:tRNA from 4 species